ACCUCAGCCAAUCCAUUGCCGCAUCCCUUUGACAUACCCACAUCUAUCCUGAUCGCUCUGUUACUACAAGCUCCAUUAAUGCCACCUUGCUGAAUAGUAUGCCCCAUAAUCAUCCUCUUCGCCCCAGGAAUUGUGUUCAGAACAUAUUCAAGAGUUGAACAAUCACAAUGUUUCCCCACCUUAUGGGAGUACUUCCUUGUCCAAACAAUGGAAUCCUUGCCCUUAACUAACUCCCUAGCAACAUUGUCCCUCACCCCAAGAAUCCAAUCCCUCACAUGCUCAUUCACCUUCUCCAACCCAUACUCUACAUGAUUAGGCAAAAGCCCUCCAUGUGCAAAAACAGAAUCGCCUACCACUACAAUUGUCUGGUUUCUUGACAAAAACCUCUCCGCAAUUGGUCCCUCUGGCCUUAAUGCAGCUAUACGUGCUCUAAUACCACGCAGAAGCUCCGGCUUAACAUGAGAAAACUCAUGAGGGAUUCCGUCAAAAGGGUCCUCUGUGGGGCCACCAAACCCCUCACACAACUUCUUCAUGUCAUUCCCGACACAGUACCACAUAGCCCAAUCCUUGAACUCUUCCAAACCCUCUUUAGUUGCAAAACGGAAAUCCCCAUCAAUGUUCAUAAUUUCGUGAUUCCCAUUCAUAGUAAUAAUGGUUCCCCCAUCCUUGACUGCUUCUCUUCUCAGUUUCUCAAACAAGUACAUUAUCUUCAGUUCAUCACCACCACGAUCCAAGAUGUCACCAACUUGUACCACAGUGCUGGAGCCACCACACCAGCGAUCCUCACCAUUAACAAGGCCUGCAAGGCGGAGAGCUUGCUUGGCCUUUGAAAGGUCACCAUGGAGAUCGCCAAUGGCUAUGAGCCGAGUAGGAGCCGGGAAGAUGGUUUGCAAUGUGGUUGAAACUUUGGGGUCAACACUAUUGGAAUUAAAAUCAGGAUUGCUUUUGGGGUCAACACUAUUGGAAUUAAAAUAAGGAUUGCUUUUUGGUUCUGGAUUCAGGCCCUGAGGUAACAGGAAGAGCCCACCGCUCACAGAAAAGUCAACGAAAGUGUCCACGAAAGAGGAGAGCAGAAAAGGGAGGUUUUGGCAUGUGAUAUUGCUUGGGGAUGUUUCUAGUUGCUUCAUCUCCACCAUGUUGGAUAAGUUGUGUAAGUCGUAGUACACAACUUAAUGGAUUUGGAAGUAGGGGCCAGUGUUGCUCUUGGCUACUUUAUACGUUUCUCAAUUCUAAUCAACCUUCCUUUUCAAAUAUAAAUUGAUCAAGCAUGCCUGAAGAAAUUCCUAAGCCUACUCACAGUUACAUUACCUCGUAACUUCAUCCCUGCUUAAACAAAUUUUCAAGAAAUGAUAUCGUAAUCAAAACAAACUGGCUGAGGCCUUACAGUAAUUUACAUUACAAGCAUGAGAAUUUAUAGAUGUGUAAGACAUAUUUCGUGAAUAAAACAAAACCAGUUAUUAGGCACAACUUAAAACAUGCUUCAAUGGUUAAUGAUUGUUGUCAUUUGCCUUAAAACAUGAGUUCAAUUCCCACCUAUCCCAUUCUACCUUCACACAUCCCUCUUCAGUUACUGCAACCAACUUCUCAGACAGCGUUCUCCAAAACUUCUCAGAAGGCACACUAGUUACUCACCAUUCAUUUCCACUUCUAUUAAUAGCCGUAGCAUGGCAUUUUCCAUACUGUAUUCUCCAUUGUUGAAAUCAGCAAUAUCACAUAUUCUGACGCAAUUACUCUGCGAAAAUUUGUUAUUGGCACUCCCAUACACAUUGAAAACACUCUCCCUAGACUUUUUAACCACGUGAAUCAGACAAUAAAACCCC
rnacentral:lncRNA from 1 species